rnacentral:rRNA from 1 species
GGGGAAUAUUGCACAAUGGGCGAAAGCCUGAUGCAGCGACGCCGCGUGAGUGAAGAAGUAUUUCGGUAUGUAAAGCUCUAUCAGCAGGGAAGAAAAUGACGGUACCUGACUAAGAAGCCCCGGCUAACUACGUGCCAGCAGCCGCGGUAAUACGUAGGGGGCAAGCGUUAUCCGGAUUUACUGGGUGUAAAGGGAGCGUAGACGGCGAAGCAAGUCUGAAGUGAAAACCCAGGGCUCAACCCUGGGACUGCUUUGGAAACUGUUUUGCUAGAGUGUCGGAGAGGUAAGUGGAAUUCCUAGUGUAGCGGUGAAAUGCGUAGAUAUUAGGAGGAACACCAGUGGCGAAGGCGGCUUACUGGACGAUAACUGACGUUGAGGCUCGAAAGCGUGGGGAGCAAAC